UACUCCAUUUUCAGAGUUUUGUUUUUUUUGAAUUGGGUAUCAAGUGGGGCGUUCAACUUGGAAGUAUCAAGUCUUCUUUUUGUUCAGUUUGAUCUUGCAUUCUCAACUUCCCUUUCCAUCGUCUCUCUCUUCCUCCUUGUCUUCAAUGCCACCAUGCUCUGCUCUACUCCAUUUUAAUAAGUCUUUUUCUCUUCACAAAUCUGCUUCUGACUCACAAACUUCUUAUCCAAAAACAUCCAGUUGGCGGGCGGAUAAGCACUGUUGCAAUUGGGAUGGGGUCAAGUGUGACAAAAACACAAGCCAUGUGGUUGGCCUGGACCUUAGUUCCAGCUGGCUUAUGGGCCACUAUCAUUCCAACAAUACCCUGUUUUUUCUUCCCAAUCUCAGGAAGUUGAACCUCGCUGACAAUUGGUUCAAUCGCUCCCUAAGUCCUUCUGAGUUUGGCAACUUUAAGAGUUUGACUCAUCUUAACCUUUCUCUUUCCGUAUUUGCUGGCCAAAUCCCGUUUGAAAUCUCUCAGUUGUCUUCACUGGUUUCACUUGAUCUUAAUGGGCUAUUAUUAAUCAAAGCUCCAGUAUGGAAAAGAGUCAUUGGUAACCUAACUCAGUUAAGGGAACUUAUUCUGGAUAGGACAAAUAUGUCCUCAAUUAGACCUAAUUCUUUGAUGAAUCUAUCCUCCUCUUUGACAACUCUCAGUCUCUGUGAGUGUGACUUGCAGGGAAAACUUAAAAAUAACAUCCUCUUCCUUCCCAAUAUACAAACCCUUGAUCUUGCAGCAAAUUCAGACCUUGAAGUUUCUCUUCCAAAGUCUAAUUGGAGCUGUAAUUCCCAAAAGUUUUUAGAUCUCUCUUCAACAAACUUUUUAGGAGAAUUACCUAGUUCUAUUGGCAAUCUGAAGUCCUUGGAGCAUUUGGAUCUCUCUUCGAUAAACUUUUCAGGAGAAUUACCUAGUUCUAUCGGCAAUCUAAAGUCCUUAGAUCAUUUGGAUCUCUCUUGGACAAACUUUUCAGGAGAAUUACCUAGUCCUAUCGGCAAUUUGAAGUCCUUGGAGCAUUUGGAUCUCUCUUCGACAAACUUUUCAGGAGAAUUACCUAGUUCUAUAGGCAAUCUGAAGUCCUUGGAGUAUUUGGAUCUCUCUUCGACAAACUUUUCAGGAGAAUUACCUAGUUCUAUCGGCAAUCUGAAGUCCUUGGAGUAUUUGGAUCUCUCUUCGCCAAACUUUUUAGGAGAAUUACCUAGUUCUAUCGGCAAUCUAAAGUCCUUGGAGCAUUUGGAUUUCUCUUAUUGCAAUUUUUCGGGGUCAAUUCCAGCUUGGCUUGGGAACCUUACAAAACUUAUAUAUUUAGAUCUGUCAUCUAAUAGUUUUAGCGGUUUGUUGCCGUCAUCACUAUUCAACUUGUCGAAUCUCUCAACUUUACACCUUUCGUACAAUCAACUUGUUGGUCCCCUUCCUAGUCACUUAAUUGUGAUAGUUGGUGUUGGAGUCAGUAUUAGGCCCAAAAUUUCCUCCACCUUGGAUGGGAGGUACUGAAUUUCUAGUUUGGUAUGAAAAAAUAAAUAAAAUGUACAAGAUGGGAUGUGCACAAUAGGAAUUGGAAGCUCCAGUAAAAUUGCAGUGGAGAUGGUUUGGUGCUCAAUUUGGAAAGCAAAGGUCCCUAAUAAAGUUAAGAUGUUUGCAUGGAGAGCAUGUCAUAACAUUCUACCUGCAUGUGCCAAUCUAGUGAACAAAAGGGUUCUAACGUAGCCAUGAUGUCCAAGCUGCAAAUUAAAUGAGGAUGACAUGAUGCAUGAAUUAUGGAAUUGUGAAGAGGCACAAGAAUUUGGUGCUGCAGAAAAGAGGUAAUUAGAGCAUGAAUUCCUAGACUUUGUUAGAAUAAUUUGGCCUGUAUUGGAGGAGGGCUGUGACAACACUGUGGAGCAAUCCCUGAUACUGUCCUGGAUGAUUUGGAAGGGAAGGAAUAAGAGGGUCUUUGAGCAGUCUACAAAACAGCCAAGUGUCAUAGCAGGUGAGGCUAUAGAAUUUUGGCAGGAAUUUCAAGCAAUCUGCAACUCAGUUUUUGAGGAUUUACAUAGAACAGGAGCGGGGGUCAUAAUCCGGAAUGAACAAGGAUUGCUCGUUGCAGCAAUGAGCUGAAAAGGAAGACCAGUUAUGGAGAGCUUUGUGGCAGAACUUGAGGCUGCAGUCCAAACCAUUCGGUUUGCUCAUGAUGUUGGCAUACAGAGGGGACAAGUUUUAGUGGGGGAUUAUAGCAAAACUUCAGGAACACGGAAAAUAUGAGUUUUGGUGGGCUAACGUAGUGAAGGAAGCUAAAUUUCAUCUGCAACGUUAACAUGUUCAGCAAUGGGAGGUUAGUUUUACUAGAUACUCAUUUUGGCAAGAUGUGCACAUAAUAUUGAAGAUUAUGUAACAUGGAUAGAAGAGGCCCCAUUAUUUUUCUUUGAAUGGUUGAACAAUGAUGUACUGGGUUUGAAUGUUUCAACAUGCUACUUGUUUGGUUUUCCAAAGAAAAAAUGGAAGCAUAAAUGGAAGCAUAUCAUAUUAAUUCUACUCAUACAGGGGACCAAUACAUUUUUUUUGCCCCCAACAAGUUCAUUCUUACAACCAAAGUGGGGGGCUUCAAGCUUGCUACAACUAAAUUUACAGAACCAUGAACUAUAUAUAGCUCAUAAUCCAAUAACACAAGACAUGCACAAUACAUUUAUCUUUUU